UACGGGGGGGGCAAGCGUUGUUCGGAAUUACUGGGCGUAAAGGGCUCGUAGGCGGCCAACUAAGUCAGACGUGAAAUCCCUCAGCUUAACUGGGGAACUGCGUCUGAUACUGGAUGGCUUGGAUUCGGGAGAGGGAUGCGGAAUUCCAGGUGUAGCGGUGAAAUGCGUAGAUAUCUGGAGGAACACCGGUGGCGAAGGCGGCAUCCUGGACCGAUAUUGACGCUGAGGAGCGAAAGCUAGGGGAGCGAACGGG
rnacentral:rRNA from 1 species